CCUACGGGAGGCUGCAGUUAGGAAUAUUGUGCAAUGGGGGAAACCCUGACACAGCCAUGCCGCGUGUGUGAAGAAGGCCCUAGGGUUGUAAAGCACUUUCAGUAGGGAGGAAUUAGCAAGGCUAAUACUCUUGUGAAAUGACGUUACCUACAGAAGAAGAUCCGGCUAACUCCGUGCCAGCAGCCGCGGUAAUACGGAGGGAUCGAACGUUAAUCGGAAUUACUGGGCGUAAAGCGCGCGUAGGCGGCUUGUUAAGUGGGAUGUGAAAGCCCCGGGCUCAACCUGGGAACUGCAUUCCAAACUGACAGACUUGAGUACGAUAGAGGGGGGUAGAAUUCAGAGUGUAGCGGUGAAAUGCGUAGAUAUUCUGAGGAAUACCGGUGGCGAAGGCGGCCCCCUGGAUUGAUACUGACGCUGAGGUGCGAAAGCGUGGGGAGCAA
rnacentral:rRNA from 1 species